AGUUCAGUAAGUUUCUUGUCUAGAAAAAUAAUGUUAUUUAAAUACUUCAGAUACUUGCAUCCACUUAUUAGCAAUGAAUUUUUCUGAUCUCUCUGGUGAUAUCUGAAAGAGCAGAAAUGACUGGUAGGAUAUAGUUAAGCCAGGUUUUAUUCUGGUAAGUACUGGUAUGUUCAUCAGUGCUGUACUAGACAACAGUAGGCUACACCUCCCAUUUUCACGCUAGCCAUAUUGCACACUGUGAUGCCUCUCCAAUCCUUGGGUUUAUAACUACAGAAAAUAGCCCUCAGUGUGCACAGGAAGCAGAGCUCCUUUUCUGCUAACAAAACUUAGAGAAGAUAAGUUCUUAAAUCCAAUUUUUUCUUCAAUCAGACAGAGGUACCUGGUAAUCCUGGAUCUCCAGUAUGCCCUUUUGGACCAUGUGUACCAAUCAGAGGAGUGGGGUCACCUCUCUUGCCUGUAGAGUAAGUACUCACCAUCAUCUGUCAGAGCAUAUGCAUCCUAAUAAUAGUGCUCUUUUCCAAAGCAUGUCAAUAUAAAUUACCUUUGGAUCCUUUUGGGCCAGGCAGUCCUGGAUUGCCAGGGAUUCCUGUGUAGCCUGGACUUGCGCUAAGUGGCAAUAUAACAAAAUCACAGCAUGCAGCAAGGGAAGAGGGGAGAGGCCCUUUGUUGACUCUGAUUAAAAGGUAAUCAAGGCAUUGAAUUGUUACAUUAGGGAGUUUUUACCUUUCCUAUUAUACUGACAGUCUCUUCUGGGGAGGAACAUCUAAUGGGUAAGUAAGUACAUCUAAUGGGUAAAUACAAUAGAAUCCUUCAUCAUAUUUUUUGGAGGCAGGAUAUAGCUGAAAAGUCCAGGACAUUUCACUACUACUUUGUUUACCUGGUCACCUGGUUGU